GCUUGUCUCAAAGAUUAAGCCAUGCAUGUCUAAGUAUAAACAACUUUGUACUGUGAAACUGCGAAUGGCUCAUUAUAUCAGUUAUAGUCUACUCGAUAGUACCUUACUACUUGGAUAACCGUAGUAAUUCUAGAGCUAAUACAUGCGUAAAUACCCAACUGCUUGUCGGACGGGUAGCAUUUAUUAGAUUGAAACCAAUGCGGGUUCGCCCGGUAUUUGGUGAUUCAUAAUAACUUUCGGAUCGACUUCGGUCGAUGCAUCAUUCAAGUUUCUGCCCUAUCAGCUUUGGAUGGUAGGGUAUUGGCCUACCAUGGCUUUAACGGGUAACGGAGAAUUAGGGUUCGAUUCCGGAGAGGGAGCCUGAGAAAUGGCUACCACAUCCAAGGAAGGCAGCAGG
rnacentral:rRNA from 1 species